rnacentral:rRNA from 1 species
AUUGAACGCUGGCGGCAUGCUUUACACAUGCAAGUCGAACGGCAGCGCGGGCUUCGGCCUGGCGGCGAGUGGCGAACGGGUGAGUAAUGCAUCGGAACGUGCCCAGUAGUGGGGGAUAGCCCGGCGAAAGCCGGAUUAAUACCGCAUACGACCUGAGGGUGAAAGCCGGGGACCGAAAGGCCUCGCGCUAUUGGAGCGGCCGAUGUCGGAUUAGCUAGUUGGUGGGGUAAAGGCUUACCAAGGCGACGAUCCGUAGCUGGUCUGAGAGGACGACCAGCCACACUGGGACUGAGACACGGCCCAGACUCCUACGGGAGGCAGCAGUGGGGAAUUUUGGACAAUGGGGGCAACCCUGAUCCAGCCAUGCCGCGUGCGGGAAGAAGGCCUUCGGGUUGUAAACCGCUUUUGUUCGGGAAGAAAUCCUCUGGGCUAAUACCCCGGGGGGAUGACGGUACCGGAAGAAUAAGCACCGGCUAACUACGUG